UUUACAGUAAACAGCUAUGUGCUGUGAAUUGCUGUUACUGAAGGGCCACAGAGGUAAGCAGCAAUGUAGUUUGAUGGUUCAAAGAGGUAAGGUUGCUGUUUCCCUGCAAGUUAUUAGAAAGCAUAUGAAGGUGCAAAAUGCCCAUUGGCUGCAUACUUUGGAUUCUAUUCUUGUGGAUAUACAUGCUGAACACUGAAAUAAAACUAUUUACAACUUAUGGAAAGAGACUGCUGCCCACUAAACUAUAUUUACAUAUUGUUUAUGCAUUUUAUCUCUCAUCUUGUCAUAGCUGGUACAUCAGGGGGUAGCAAUUACUUAGGAAAGUGGUCUUUAAAUAUACUUCUAAACUGAGAUGAAGAAUGCAUUGUCUAGCAGAAAAGUACACAAACUGUAAUUGUACAAAGAACUUAUAAUCUACAGACUUUUUAUACUGAUAUGAAGAGAAAUACCAAGGAUUCUGUGGAGUAGGACAAUGACCAACGUUUAGAUUUUUUGUAAAAAAAAAAAAAAAAAAGCUGGUCAAUGAGGGUUAUUUUUAUUGUAAUGAAAGAUUUAUUUCACUGGU